rnacentral:misc_RNA from 1 species
CAUCAACUCAACUCAGACACCGAACGGAGAAAUGAAAUGGAAGUCAUUCUGCUGGAACGCGUGGCCAAGCUCGGCCAGAUGGGCGACGUGGUCAAAGUGAAGGACGGGUUCGCCCGCAACUUCCUGCUCAAGCGCAACAAGGCUCUGCGCGCGACCAAGGAAAACCGCGAGAAGUACGACGGCAUGAAGGCCGACCUCGAGGCCAAGAACAUCAAGGCCAAGGGCGAAGCCACCGAGGUCGCCAAGAAGAUCGACGNNNAACGUCGUCAUCAUCCGUCAGGCGUCGGAAACCGGCCAGCUCUACGGUUCGGUGUCGGU